rnacentral:rRNA from 1 species
AACGCACCUUGCGCUCUUUGGCAUUCCAAAGAGCAUGCCUGUUUGAGUGUCACGUUAACCUCACCUCUACAACUUUUUGUUGUGGUCGGUGGAUUUGGAUGUCUGCCGUCGUUGGCUCGUCCUGAAAUGCAUUAGCCUGGCGUUGCUGAGGCCCUCUGGUGUGAUAAUUGUCUACGUCAAUAGGCCUGGCUCUGUCUGGGAACCGCUUCCAACCGUCCUCAAGGGACAACCACUCAUGAACCCUUUUGGCUUUGUGAGAGAAAUCAAACUUGACCUCAAAUCAGGUAGGACUACCCGCUGAACUUAA